AGUGAACGCUGGCGGUAGGCCUAACACAUGCAAGUCGAACGGCAGCACAGUAAGAGCUUGCUCUUACGGGUGGCGAGUGGCGGACGGGUGCGGAAUACAUCGGAAUCUACUUUUUCUUGGGUGAUAACGUAGGGAAACUUACGCUAAUACCGCAUACGACCUACGGGUGAAAGCAUGGGAUCUUCGGACCUUGCGCGAUUGAAUGAGCCGAUGUCGGAUUAGCUAGUUGGCGGGGUAAAGGCCCACCAAGGCGACGAUCCGUAGCUGGUCUGAGAGGAUGAUCAGCCACACUGGAACUGAGACACGGUCCAGACUCCUACGGGAGGCAGCAGUGGGGAAUAUUGGACAAUGGGCGCAAGCCUGAUCCAGCCAUACCGCGUGGGUGAAGAAGGCCUUCGGGUUGUAAAGCCCUUUUGUUGGGAAAGAAAAGCAGCAGGUUAAUACCCCGCUGUUCUGACGGUACCCAAAGAAUAAGCACCGGCUAACUUCGUG
rnacentral:rRNA from 1 species